rnacentral:rRNA from 1 species
GACGAAGGGGGCUAGCGUUGUUCGGAAUUACUGGGCGUAAAGCGCGUGUAGGCGGUUGUCUAAGUUGGAUGUGAAAGCCUUGAGCUUAACUCAAGAAAUGCAUUCAGGACUGGAUGGCUAGAGGACCGGAGAGGAUAGUGGAAUUCCCAGUGUAGUGGUGAAAUACGUAGAGAUUGGGAAGAACACCAGUGGCGAAGGCGGCUAUCUGGACGGUUUCUGACGCUAAGACGCGAAAGCGUGGGGAGCAAACAGG